ensembl:lncRNA
CCUCACUUCAAAAUGCCCAACAUGAAGAAAAGAGCUGGCAACUCUCAGCUGAAUGGUGUCUUCUCUUCUGAACCUUCACGCCCAGCAGGAUCCAUUGUCCGAUGGCAUCAUCGUAUCUCCUGGAGCCGUCACAGCGAGGCAUUGUGGUGUGGACAUGCACACAUGAUUUUCCUUUCUUUUCUCCCCUGUAUUUAUAGUUGGGGCAUUAUAGGCCCUUUAAAUUACGUAUAUUGCUAGGUCGUAUCAGCUGUGAAUUUGCUUUCUAGAUAGUAAAAGGGGUGUUGGAUCAGAUGGGCCCCAAAACCACUGGCAUGGUGGACAGAAACCACUGGUUAUGGGUGGUGCCCUGCCCCUACUUAGCUGGGACCUGGGAUACAAGCAUGAGCAUUAGCUCUUACCCCCAGCCUCUGAUGUCAUCUGUUUAACUUGGCUCAGCCACUGGACUAGCAGGUGAGCAGUAGGUGUUGACAGAUAACGGUUGAUGAGCUUUUGGAUGAACCAACAGGUGGGUGGAUGGAUGGGCAGGUGGGUGCACAGAUGAAGAAGAAAGUGGAUGGAUGGGCAUAGUAGGUGGACAGAGAGAUGAGUGGGCAGGUGGGUGGAUGGAUGGAUGGAUGGAUGGAUAAGUAGGUGGGUACAGAGAUGGAGAAGCAAGUGGACAGAUGGGUAGACAGAUGGGGUGUGGUGGUGAGCCCACAGACAGUCAGGCAGCGAACAGAUGGCCUAAUGGGUAAACAGUUGGCCAAUGGGUGGACGGAUGCAGCGACUGGACAGACACAGAUGGAAGGGUGGGUGGACAGAUGGGAAGACGGAUGGGUAGACAGACAGGUGAGUGGGUGGUUGGAGGGGAGGACGAGUGGAUGAAAUGAGGGAAGGGGGAAGAAGAGGCACAGAGAUGUUCACUCACUUUCCCAAAGUCACACAGCUCGUCUGCAGGACUGGAACCCAGGCAGUCUGACCUCAGAUCCCAUUCUCUUAAUCACUGCCUUACAUUUGACGAAGUCACUUGCCCUAGUCACCAGUUAGGAAUAGAUUAGGCCAAGAUUUGAAGCUGAGUCUGCCUGACUUAUUAUUACCCUGAUGGACUGAAGGCUGGAAAAGGGCACCGGGAAUCAAUAGUGAAUGUCGCGGGAAGCUGGACCUUGUCCUCAGGCAACCAGGGAGCGGGCAAAAGGUUUUGUGUAAGUCUGGACAUUACACCAUCCUUCUGAGUUUAGCAAGACAAUACACCCAGAAAUGUAAUGGCUGGGUUUUAGGGGAACCCACCUAUGGGGAGACUUUUGAUUUGGGGGGAGGCUGUUGUAGUAACCGUCAGAGGAACUGAGUCAGAGAUAGAGCUGAGAUGGCACAGAAGCAAGAAUGGAUUCAGAAGUCUUCCAGAAUUCCAGUUGUCAGGACCUGGUGGCUAAGCCCAAGUGAGAGAGGAGGAGCAGUAGGAAUCACAGGGUCACAGUGUGACCUUGAACGCAGUCACUUCCCUUUCCCAAACCACCUACUGCCUCAAAAGUAUGUAUUAGUGAAAUAAAGGCAGUGCUGCUGUUAACAAAGAGCCCCCCCCCCCA